AGUCAGCGGAAUCGUCGAAUAGCUUGACCCGUUCCGAAACAUCCAAGCAACGGAAUGGAAGAACUCCCAAGGGAGCGAUACUAAGCGCCUCCAACUCGACACUCACCGAGUCUAUCCUAGUUUGGGACCCCUUCUGAGUAAAAGCUCCCAGGCUGAGCCAUAUUUAACUCACCUUGCUCAGUGGAUUCUUGGCAUGGAAAUAACAAAUAGGUUCUAAAUUUCUUCCCUAACUGCUGCAACUUUACAGAAUUGAUUUCAUAGAGGUCUAGAAAGCAUAAUGGCUCAGUAUGUCUGUCUGUAUCGUCUUACGCUUUUUAGGAGUCGGGUUUUUUACGUGCUUUAUUUUUACUUGUGAGUUGUUAGAAAGUUAACAAAAUUCUCCCCUACUCACGUAAUCUUCCCUCUAGAAUGGUACUCUCGUGUCUCUCCCUUGAAUAAUUUUCUUCUGAUGUUCACAAAUUCUUCUUAGAUGACUCUUCGACCCAACAUACAAUGUAGUCAAACCUUGAAAUCAUUGAUCUCAAGAUUUUUUUUCAAUGAUCAUUACUUGCUACAUGUUUUCAUCAUGAA